UUUCCGUAGGUGAACCUCCGGAAGGAUCAUUG
rnacentral:rRNA from 1 species